GCUGAGCCCAGUGCCAAGAUCUACGCGAAAGCGGUGCAGGAGGUCCUUUCAGAGAGAGCUCGUCUCCAGGCUGGAGGGCUUCCCACAGCAGCAGGUCCCAGCUCAGGGAGAAGACCUUCCCCUGCCAUGUGCCCCCGCUCUGUCUCCAAGUCCCCGGCUGGAGGCAAAUGCAAGGGCUUGGAAGCAGAGCAGCAAACAGCAGCGCAGCUGCCUGCUAACAAAAGAGUGAGGGCUCAGAGCAGAGGCAGCGUGCUGGCUCCAGCAGCACAGCCUGGGCCUGCUGCAGCAUGGAGCACCAAGCUGAGAUGUAAGAAGGUGCUGUGGUACCACCCUGUAGGGCAGUGCUGCCCUUAUCAAGCACACUGAAGUUGCAGAGGGUUUGCUUUGCUUUUUCCUUCUCUGCAGAGGGGAAAAAAGUUGAAGCCUACAAAGGCCCAAGGCAGUGAGGUGCCAUGUAACCCCGUCUCUUUCCGUUACCUCCAUGGUGGUCUUCUGCACCUUUCCACUGGAAAUGUCAUUCACUGAGAGGCUUCCAAUUUCCUUUAUCUUUUUCCCGACAUCUGUUUUUAUGGUACCUAUGUUUCUGCAGUUUUGCUGCAGACAAAAUGAAUUCAGUUUUAUUCUUGCUUUACAGCAAGAAGACAACGAAAAGCAAGAAGAGUGGAACUGAAGAAGGCUGCUCUGAGAGCUGCUGCUGCACGUGCAGAGUGCUCCGCAAUGAACAGCCUUGUGGAGAUGAUGCAGAAGCUGCAGCUGAAGGACUGAGAGGACGAGCAUCAGCAGGCAGCGAUGCAGCGCAGCGUUACAGGGCAGCGUUCCGAGUGCCGCCAACUCGGCACCACGAGUUUGGUUGUAGUCAAUAAAAAACAGCCACAAUUAGACAUCGACAAAGAGCGCAUGGCCUGAUUUGUCCUGUGGCAUUCCAUGAGCUGCUGUACUCCAACUGGUCCAGAGUAGAACCUAUGCAGCUUCGGAGCACCAAGCCGCCAUCCUGGCAUGGUUUUUGGAGGCAAUGCUCCAAGCUUUGGGCUGUAAUACCCCUGACAAUGAAAACACAACUUGCAUUUUAAUGCGACACUGCUGUGCUUUGUACCAAAUCAGUGCUCCUUGAGUCUCUGAGGUAGGACAGGGUGAAGGGGAGCGAUGUGAAGCUGUGUGCAGGAAAUCUGAGGGUGGGAGGGCACUGCCAAACCCAGCUGGUGCAUCUCUGUGCAGUUUUGCCUUCCCGGGAGGAACCCAGAUAUUCCCGGUAGUUUUCUGCUCCUGUACUGCAGUGUGAGCAUAAGGUUCUGCUGCCUCCUUCUGGAAGAUCCUCUGCAGCUAUGGACAUCUGAUACAGGCACCUGUCCUUUUCGGUUUGUUUUUGUUUUUUAAUCAGGACACAUUAUGCUUGUUGUAUUUUCUGCAGGUUACUUACCAAAGUCACCAUGAAAGGGUUUUGAUUUUCCUGCAGUCAGAUUUGCUCUCACGUAACAAGCUUCUGUAAAAGAGUCCAUCUGACUUUUGAAAUUAUUUUGUUGAGGUUCAAGACAUUCUAGUCUUAAUAGUCUUUAUAGCACCACCCUUCCCUCCUGCUUAUAAGUUCCUAUUUAAUUACUGGAAGGCCACAUCAGGUUUCCCCAGUGUUGUAUUAGGCGCUUGCGCCAUCUUCGGGUUGUAAUGCGUUAGGCCCUCCCCUUUCCAUAUAUAAGCACGUGUUAGUUUCAUUAAAGCGCCAUUUUGCUGUUCACCAUAUUGGUGUCACCUCGGUAAUUGGCCAAGCUGCGGUCUCCCAGGGAAAACGAACGGGUGAAGGUUACAACACCCCAGAGUAUUCUCUUCUCCAGACUGAACAAGCCCAGGUCUCACUGCUGGCUCUGGUGAAGUUUUUCGUCUACCAGGACGCUGAAGUCCUUCUCAGCAGGGCCGCCCUCCAUUAGUUCUUCUCCCAGCCUGCACAGAUAUCUGGGGUUGCCACGACCCAGGUGCAACACCCUACACUUGACCUUGUUGAAUCUCAUUAGGUUCACGUGCUCCCUCCCAGAUGAAGAUUUUGAAACAGCUUUGUGAAGAAAUGAAAGAACCUUGAGAGCAACAAGAGUUCUCUCAGGCUGGACGUUAGGAAAAACUCCUCCGAAAGAGUGGUUGGACCCUGGACAGACUGCCCAGGGAGGGACUGCAGUCAGAUUCCCUGGAGGCGUUCAGGAAAUGUUUAGGUGUGCAUAUGGGAACUGCUAAGUCAUGGCCUGAACCUCUGAGUGAUCACCUGAGGCGAGCCAUUAGUCAGCCAGAGGAGCACA